rnacentral:misc_RNA from 1 species
AAGAGAGCAGGCCAGGGAU